CUUGACCUACGGGAGGCAGCAGUGAGGAAUAUUGGUCAAUGGCCGAGAGGCUGAACCAGCCAAGUCGCGUGAGGGAUGACGGCCCUACGGGUUGUAAACCUCUUUUGUCGGGGAGCAAAGAGAGUCACGUGUGGCUCAUUGAGAGUACCCGAAGAAAAAGCAUCGGCUAACUCCGUGCUAGCAGCCGCGGUAAUACGGAGGAUGCGAGCGUUAUCCGGAUUUAUUGGGUUUAAAGGGUGCGCAGGCGGAGGUGCAAGUCAGUGGUCAAAUUGCGGGGCUCAACCCCGUACUGCCGUUGAACCUGC
rnacentral:rRNA from 1 species